GGCGUAGGCCUCCGAGUAGUGCUGCCGCUCAAAUGGGCAGUCGAGCGGCUCGAGGUGGUGCUGGCUGAAGGCAUCCGUCCGAAGGUGCUUUCGGGGACCGCUGCUGCUGCUCUGAAUCUUCCAGAACCUUGGGGUCUAGGAGGGCGCCGGAAGCUGCCCUCUCUCACCUGUUGAUGGAGCUGACACUGGGCACAGUGUCAUUGUCACAAACGCCUUCUGCCAGGAGCCGGUCCCGGAUCUCCCAGGCAAACAUGGUUCCAUGGUUCAUGUUGAAGCUGCUUCUCCCAGACUCUAAAGUCCGGCCUCGCUUGGAAUCUCUGGCCUGAUUCAGCCCCCGAAGAUGAGCCUCCUCCUCCUCCAGAACCUAUCC